rnacentral:rRNA from 1 species
AUUGAACGCUGGCGGCAGGCCUAACACAUGCAAGUCGAACGAGUGGCGGACGGGUGAGUAAUGUCUGGGAAACUGCCUGAUGGAGGGGGGUAACGACUGGAAACUGUAGCUAAUACCGCAUACUAUCGGAUGUGCCCAGAUGGGAUUAUCUAGUUGGUGGGGUAAAGGCUCACCUGGGCGACGAUCCCUAGCUGGUCUGAGAGGAUGACCAGCCACACUGGAACGGAGACACGGUCCAGACUCCUACGGGAGGAAGAAGUGGGGAAUAUUGCAAAAUGGGCGAAAGCCGGAUGCAGCAAUGCCGCGUGGAUGAAGAAGGCCUUCGGGUGGUAAAGUACGUUCAGCGGGGAGGCGGUACCCGAAGAAGAAGCACCGGCUAACUCCGUGCCAGCAGCCGCGGUAAUAC